rnacentral:lncRNA from 1 species
UAUUGGAAGAUACCAUUUUAUAUUUUAUUGAUUAUUUCAACAUCUAUGUUGUAAGUGAAAUAAGACAAAAAGCUUUAUUUGUUUGUAAUGUUCUUGUCUGAACAUGAAAUAAAAAUAAAUGGAUCAGGCAGGUUUCUCAAUAUUUUUAUAUUCUGUUUUUGUUAAAUUUGAAUAAGAUGAGGACUGUUUGUUCCUUGCCAAUUUAGUGAACUCAUAAGUAAAGCUGUCUGGCAGCAGGAACUAUUAAGGUUCAAUUGAGGUUAAUGAAAAUAAGGAUGUACUUAUUUUUCCCAUCCAAGCUACUAGGCCCCUUGAAUUCUAUGCAUAGGCGUCCUUUGGGAUCAAGAGCUGCUGCUCCAGAGAAUAUACUAGGAAGAGGGUUUUCUGGAUAAUAUAACCUGUGCCAUUAUGGCUUCCAGACAGUGACCCUCUUCUUCAGAAAUCAAUCAGCUUCACAGAAAAUUUUGCUGGACAGCCUAAAAGUCAAAGAUCAAGGCAAAAUAAUCUGCUGUGCAUUGCAACCUAGGAAAUGAGCCGACCUUCCAUUUAGAGGUAAUUGCUGAAGGCAUACUACUAACACAAAUCUAAGGGUGGGAGUCAGCCUUAUGAAAUGAAUUGAAAUAAGCCAUGUAGUUUGAAAAUGUGAUAUUUCUUAUUAGAGAAAGUAUACAGGAAAUAGUCUUUUUUUUUUUGUUUGAGAUGGAGUUUCACUCUUGUUACCCAGGCUGGAGUGCAAUGGCGUGAUCUCGGCUCAUCACAACCUCCGCCUCCUGGGUUCAGGCAAUUCUCCUGCCUCAGCCUCCUGAGUAGCUGGGAUUACAGGCACGCGCCACUAUGCUCAGCUAAUUUUUUUUGUAUUUUUAGUAGAGAUAGGGUUUCACCAUGUUGACCAGGAUGGUCUCGAUCUCUUGACCUCGUGAUCCACCCGCCUUGGCCUCCCAUAAUGCUGGGAUUACAGGCUUGAGCCACUGUGCCAGGCCAGGAAAUAGUCUUAAAAAUCCAAGAGGAUUGUCUCAGAUAUAAUCAGAAAAUUGAAAAAAAGAAAAAAUAUUAUGAAAAAACUAAGUAAUUUUAACAUUCAAAACAGAUGAUGUUUAGAUUUAUAGUUUUUUU